rnacentral:tRNA from 1 species
GGCCCUGUCGUUCAACGGCGGAGGACACCCGGUUGUCUCCCGGGAGAUGAGGGUUCGAUUCCCUUCGGGGCCG